GCCUACGGGGGGCAGCAGUGGGGAAUAUUGCACAAUGGGGGAAACCCUGAUGCAGCGACGCCGCGUGGGCGAGGAAGUACCUCGGUAUGUAAAGCCCUAUCAGCAGGGAAGAAACAGGACAGUACCUGACUAAGAAGCCCCGGCUAACUACGUGCCAGCAGCCGCGGUAAUACGUAGGGGGCAAGCGUUAUCCGGAUUUACUGGGUGUAAAGGGAGCGUAGACGGCCAUGCAAGUCUGAUGUGAAAACCCGGGGCUCAACCCCGGGACUGCAUUGGAAACUGUGCGGCUGGAGUGUCGGAGAGGC
rnacentral:rRNA from 1 species